GCCUGGGUGGCUCGGUCGGUGGAGCAUCCGACUUCGACUCAGGUCGCGACCUCACGGUGUGUGGGUUCGAGCCCCGCCUCCGGCU
rnacentral:tRNA from 1 species